rnacentral:rRNA from 1 species
CCCUUAGAUGUCCGGGGCUGCACGCGCGCUACACUGAAGGAAUCAGCGUGCUAGAAAACCUUGUUUGACAUGGCUAGGUAACCCGUUGAAAAUCUUUCGUGAUUGGGAUCGGGACUUGCAAAUGUGUCCCUUGAACGAGGAAUUCCCAGUAAGUGCGGGUCAUAAGCUCGCGCUGAUUACGUCCCUGCCCUUUGUACACACCGCCCGUCGCUCCUACCGAUUGGGUGUGCUGGUGAAAUGUUCGGAUCGGCCGUUUGUCGCGGUUUCCGCGUCAUGUGGCUGAGAAGUUCAUUAAACCCUCCCACCUAGAGGAAGGAGAAGUCGUAACA